GGAUGGAGGACAAGGAUAAGGGUGGAAGACAAGGAAUAAGGAUGGAGGACAUGGAUGCAGGGCAAGGAUAAGUAUGGAGGAUAAGGAGUAAGGAUGGAGGACAUGGAUGGAGGACGUGGCACAAGGAUGUAGGACAAGGAUGAGGAUGGAGGGUAGGGAUGGAGGACAAGGAGUAGGGAUGGAGGAUAAGGAGUAAGGAUGGAGGACAUGGCACAAGGAUGCAGGGCAAUGAUAAGGGUGCAGGACAGGGAUGGAAGUCAAGGAGUAAGGAUGGAGGAUGUGGCACAAGGACGCAGGACAAGGAUAAGGAUGGAGGACAGGGAUGGAGGACAAGGAGUAGGGAUGGAGGAUAAGGAGUAAGGAUGGAGGACACGGCACAAGGAGGCAGGAUAAGGAUAAGGAUGGAGGACAUGGAUGGAAGACAUGGCACAAGGACACAGGACAAGGAUAAGGAUGGAGGACAGGGAUGGAAGUCAAGGAGUAAGGAUGGAGGACAUGGAUGGAGAACGUGGCAGAAGGAUGCAGGACAAGGAUAAGGAUGCAGGACAAGAAUAAGGAUGCAGGACCGGGAUAAGGAUGCAGGACAGGGAUAAGGGUGCAGGACAGGGAUAAGGAUGGAGGACAGGGAUAAGGGUGCAGGACAGGGAUAAGGGUGCAGGACAAGGAUAAGGGGAUAAGGCAGCGGGGAAGGCGGCACCCCGCGCUCUACGGCCACUUCUCCGUAAUCCGAAGGAAUCCAAGACGGAUGGUGACGGGGAUGGAGUUAAUAACAUUUGAAAAAUUGAGGCCUGUCACUCCGCUAAACUUUUUUCGAUACCACCGGCAGAAACAUAUUUCCCCAAUGGGUGACCUUCCGCAGCUGCUGCGGCGCGGCGCGGGCGGGCGCUGCCGGUGAGCCGCCGCGCCAUUCAUCAAAUAUGAUAAGCUGGGGCCCUCCUAAUGCAGGCGGGAGGUGCGGG
rnacentral:lncRNA from 1 species